AGCAGUCGCCGCGGUAAUACGAAGGGGGCUAGCGUUGCUCGGAAUGACUGGGCGUAAAGGGCGCGUAGGCGGAAGUGACAGUCAGAUGUGAAAUUCCUGGGCUUAACCUGGGGGCUGCAUUUGAUACGUUACAUCUAGAGUUCGGAAGAGGGUCGUGGAAUUCCCAGUGUAGAGGUGAAAUUCGUAGAUAUUGGGAAGAACACCGGUGGCGAAGGCGGCGACCUGGUCCGGGACUGACGCUGAGGCGCGAAAGCGUGGGGAGCAAACAGGAUUAGAUACCCCUGUAGUCCCUGUCUCUUAUAC
rnacentral:rRNA from 1 species